AGCCCCAGAGACUGACGUCCUCUGUUAAUCCACAGAAAAGAUGCUCCAUGGGCAAAGUUCAAGUUUCCCUGCAUGCCUCAAAGUGCACCUUAAUUCUGAACUAGAGGGUGAGAGGAACUCUCCCUGGCCUCUUGGCUGAA
rnacentral:sRNA from 1 species